rnacentral:rRNA from 1 species
UGACGAGUGGCGGACGGGUGAGUAAUGCUUGGGAACUUGCCUUUGCGAGGGGGAUAACAGUUGGAAACGACUGCUAAUACCGCAUAAUGUCUUCGGACCAAACGGGGCUUCGGCUCCGGCGCAAAGAGAGGCCCAAGUGAGAUUAGCUAGUUGGUAAGGUAACGGCUUACCAAGGCGACGAUCUCUAGCUGUUCUGAGAGGAAGAUCAGCCACACUGGGACUGAGACACGGCCCAGACUCCUACGGGAGGCAGCAGUGGGGAAUAUUGCACAAUGGGGGAAACCCUGAUGCAGCCAUGCCGCGUGUGUGAAGAAGGCCUUCGGGUUGUAAAGCACUUUCAGUUGUGAGGAAAAGUUAGUAGUUAAUACCUGCUAGCCGUGACGUUAACAACAGAAGAAGCACCGGCUAACUCCGUGCCAGCAGCCGCGGUAAUACGGAGGGUGCGAGCGUUAAUCGGAAUUACUGGGCGUAAAGCGCACGCAGGCGGUUUGUUAAGCUAGAUGUGAAAGCCCCGGGCUCAACCUGGGAUGGUCAUUUAGAACUGGCAGACUAGAGUCUUGGAGAGGGGAGUGGAAUUCCAGGUGUAGCGGUGAAAUGCGUAGAUAUCUGGAGGAACAUCAGUGGCGAAGGCGACUCCCUGGCCAAAGACUGACGCUCAUGUGCGAAAGUGUGGGUAGCGAACAGGAUUAGAUACCCUGGUAGUCCACACCGUAAACGCUGUCUACUAGCUGUGUGUGCCUUUANGGNNGUGCGUAGCGAAGCUAACGCGCUAAGUAGACCGCCUGGGGGAGUACGGCCGCAAGGUUAAAACUCAAAUGAAUUGACGGGGGCCCGCACAAGCGGUGGAGCAUGUGGUUUAAUUCGAUGCAACGCGAAGAAC